rnacentral:rRNA from 1 species
AAGGCCCAGACAGCCAGGAGGUUGGCUUAGAAGCAGCCACCCUUUAAAGAAAGCGUAAUAGCUCACUAGUCGAGUCGGCCUGCGCGGAAGAUGUAACGGGGCUCAAACUGGUUACCGAAGCUGCGGCUGUGCACGCAAGUGCACGGGGUAGGGGAGCGUUCUGUAAGCCUGCGAAGGUGUGUCGAGAGGCAUGCUGGAGGUAUCAGAAGUGCGAAUGCUGACAUGAGUAACGACAAUGGGGGUGAAAAACCCCCACGCCGGAAGACCAAGGGUUCCUGCGCAACGCUAAUCGGCGCAGGGUGAGUCGGCCCCUAAGGCGAGACCGAAAGGUGUAGUCGAUGGGAAACGGAUUAAUAUUUCCGUACCUUGGAUAGCUGCGAUGGAGAGACGGAGAAGGCUAGGUGAGCCGGGCGACGGUUGUCCCGGUUUAAGCAUGUAGGCAGUGGGAUUAGGCAAAUCCGGUCCCACAAUGCCGAGACGCGACGACGACUGCCCUUUUAGGGCGGGAAGUCAUUGAUGCCCUGCUUCCAGGAAAAUCUUCUAAGCUUCAGGCUAUUCGAGACCGUACCCCAAACCGACACAGGUGGGCAGGUAGAGCAUACCAAGGCGCUUGAGAGAACAACGUUGAAGGAACUCGGCAAAAUGCCCCCGUAACUUCGGGAGAAGGGGGACCUCGCAUUGGGCAACCAGUGAGGGGUGGCACAGAGUAGGGGGUGGCGACUGUUUACUAAAAACACAGGGCUCUGCGAAGUCGCAAGACGACGUAUAGGGUCUGACGCCUGCCCGGUGCCGGAAGGUUAAAAGGAGAGGUGAGAGCUUUGAAUUGAAGCCCCGGUAAACGGCGGCCGUAACAAUAACGGUCCUAAGGUAGCGAAAUUCCUUGUCGGGUAAGUUCCGACCUGCACGAAUGGCGUAACGACUUCCCCACUGUCUCCAACAUAGACUCAGCGAAAUUGAAUUCCCCGUGAAGAUGCGGGGUACCC